rnacentral:rRNA from 1 species
UACGUAGGUGGCAAGUGUUGUCCGGAUUUACUGGGCGUAAAGAGCGCGCAGGCGGUCGUUCAAGUCGCGUGUGAAAGCCCCCGGCUCAACUGGGGAGGGUCACGCGAUACUGAUCGACUCGAAGGCAGGAGAGGGAAGUGGAAUUCCCGGUGUAGUGGUGAAAUGCGUAGAUAUCGGGAGGAACACCAGUGGCGAAGGCGACUUCCUGGCCUGUUCUUGACGCUGAGGCGCGAAAGCUAGGGGAGCAAACGGG